rnacentral:tRNA from 1 species
ACACAGGUAGUAUAAAGAGUACAGCUGCCUUCCAAGCAGAGAGACCAAACUUGGCCAGUGUA